rnacentral:antisense_RNA from 1 species
AGUGUAAGCGAGGUCAGGCCCUCAAGAGUCUUGGGAUGGCUGAAGAGAGGAGAUCAUGACUAUAUCAAUAAUGGAGCCUGGGCCCAGACAACUGGUUAAGAGAGAGGUCAUUCUGACCUCAGAACAUAGGAGAGAUGGAUAUUGUACACCACAGAGUCCAGGAUGACUAGCAGUGAAGGAUUCAAAUGCCUGGCCAAAUCUCCUAUACAACCAGAGAGACCCAAGUCCCCAAAGACAAGAAGGGAUGAUGAAAUGGCCUCUGUAUGACAAGACUUGCCUAUGAGCCCUCCCAUUGCUAUAAGGAUGGGGAUCUUAGCGCAGUGCCUUGUGUGAACAGUAAUGCUAGCCUUGAUUUUACCAUGGCAAGUUUGUUUAGGGAAAAAUUCAACCCACCCAUUGAAAUUCCAACCUUGACCAAAUGAGGGAUGGCUGGGGAUGCAACCACAAAGAUACUGUAUCUUAGGAGCGGAGUUUUUUUUUUUAUAGAAACUCAUCAGGAUAUUAUUGUUAGGAUGUGUUGU